rnacentral:rRNA from 1 species
UAACGAGGAUUCCCCUAGUAACUGCGAGUGAAGCGGGAAGAGCUCAAAUUUGUAAUCUGGCGGCCUUCGGCCGUCCGAGUUGUAAUCUGUAGAGGCAUUGUCCGCGUCGGCCCGUGUACGAGUCUCCUGGAAUGGAGCGUCGUAGAGGGUGAGAAUCCCGUCCAUGACACGGACCACCGAUGCUUUGUGAGGUGCCCUCGAAGAGUCGCGUUGUUUGGGAAUGCAGCGCAAAACGGGUGGUAAAUUCCAUCUAAGGCUAAAUAUUGGCGAGAGACCGAUAGCGAACAAGUACCGUGAGGGAAAGAUGAAAAGCACUUUGAAAAGAGAGUUAAACAGUACGUGAAAUUGUUGAAAGGGAAACGCUUGAAGUCAGUCGCGUCCCUCGGCGUUCAACCUCGCUUUGGCUUGGUGUACUCGCUGGGUGGGAUGGGUCAACGUCGAUUUCGACCGGUGGACAAGGGCGAGGGGAAUGUAGCGUCGCUUUGGUGGCGUGUUAUAGCCUUUCGUCGGAUGCGUCGGUUGGGAUCGAGGAAAGUCGCAGCACGCCCUUGUUGGCCGGGAGGUUUUUGCCUCUACGUAACGUGCUUAGGACGUUGGCAUAAUGGCUUUAAGCGACCCGUCUUGAAACACGGACCAAGGAGUCUAACACGCUUGCGAGUGUUCGGGUGGAAAACCCUUGCGCGAAAUGAAAGUGAAAGUUGGGAGCCCUCCGCGAGGGGGUGCACCGACGCCCGGCCCUGAGGUGCUCCGACGGUGCUGCGGUGGAGCAAGUGUGUUGGGACCCGAAAGAUGGUGAACUAUGCCUGAAUAGGGCGAAGCCAGAGGAAACUCUGGUGGAGGCUCGUAGCGAUUCUGACGUGCAAAUCGAUCGUCGAAUUUGGG